CAUAGACGAUCUACUUUCGAUUUCAAAAACUACAAGAAAAUACAAUUUAAUGUUUCGCCGAUUUGUUUAUUUCUCGAAAAAUAAGAAUUAAAAUCAUUUUUAAUAUCUGUAGUAACUAAACAAACCAGUAAGAGCUUUUUCUUCCGAUAAUUUAUCCGUUUACUGACUGCAAAAUUCAUGCGUGUGUGUAGAAACCCACGCAAAGUUUAUAGAAAUCAUACGAUGCGUGUAUACGUUCAAUGUGGGAGAAUUAAGGCUGAUCGGGAUCGGCUAUGUUACCUAACGCAACCAGACGAUUCAGAUUUUGUUUUUAAAAAGGCAUUGUGUGCAUUUCUGUAAUUUUAUAUACGUUUUUAUACGCUUAGAAAUUAUUAGACAUGAGUAUUUGCAUUAUUUCUAUACGUAAUUUACGCUAACACGCAUCUUAUCUGGAGCUCUGUGGAACUAUUUUUUGUCUUUCGCUGGAUGUUACGGAAGCUUUGUAAGCCUGCGCAAUUCAUAAAAUGCCCAUUUAUGCUUAAUGAGUUACAUUCGAGUAUUGCACAAUUACAAGUCAUAAAUAUGACAGAUUACAUCGUAUACUGGUCAUAGCAAAUAGGAUUGACAUAAAUGAACUUCAUUCGAUCAAUGAACUCUUUGAAAUUAGAGACAAUCCAAUGGAACUACAUCACUUCGCUGUGUUGUGAGGCCAUUUAAGAAUGAGAAAUCGUGCGAUAGCAAGGACUCGUCUAAACGAUUUCAUCGUUUAGCCGACUCAAAAAUCUACUGACACAGUGAAAGCGUUUACAUUUUGCAUUAUUUUUCUGAUUCAACCUGAUGAAUGGUGUGUACUCAUUGAAUACAUGUACUGUAUAUGAAAUUAAUGAAGCAGUAAUUUGACAAAUACAAGCAAUGAGACAUUGUUCAUUGAUUAAAAUAUGGAAUAUUUUUCUGGUGUCCUUCACAAAUGAGACAAUUAAUCCUUCAGAUAUAAAAGAAUGCUUCAAGGUCAACAGAAUAUGAUUGAAAUUAUAAAGGCUAGUAAUGUAGUUUCUUAUUAUCAUUAUUAUUGACAUAAAUGUGAUGUCUUGCACUAAUCAGUGUUUGUUUUGUAUCAUAUUUCAGAUAUAAAACUAUAAAUAUUGAGAUGAUUAUUUAGUUACUUUCAACUGAUCAGUGGUCAAAAGGGAGUAUUUCUGUGUGCCUUGAAGCAUUGAAUGGCCCAAAACAACCAGUAUGAUAAGAAGGUAAUUUAGAACUCUUUUUCCAUGCCUUUCACAAAAGUACAAAACCUAUAACUGAGGAAUUGAAAUAUCUGAGGAAGAUCUGAUACAUAAAACUUCAAAACACUAAUUAUGCCCUGAUGUACGCACAGAUUGUUCCUUGCAUUUUUAUUAUUAUAAAGAUGAGAAGAUAGUUUAUGACUUUUUUGUAUAUAUUUGUUUCUGCACAAGAUUCAGAAUCAAUUUUCUAUCAACUAUGACAAAAACAGACAGAUUUCAAUAUAUGUCAUAACAAAAUUCAAUAUUUCAGGAACUUCAUUUGAAAAGGAUAUAUUAAAAAUUUAUGAAGUUGCUUUAUAUUACAUUACAUAACAGAUAUAUACAACUUUCCAAAAUGUUGAAAGACUAAGCUGUUUUUCUAUGGACUUGUAUACUAUCUAGGUUGAAAACAGCCACAGACAAUGAAUUUGGAGGUGCAUGCUGGAGCAUCAGAAAUUACAUACUUGGAAUAAAUAAUUGCACAAUACACAUUUACUGAGAAGUGACUAAUGUUUAUGUUAAGGUGCAAUAUCCAUAUUUGUAACAUUUACUUGGGGGUAAUAGUUACAGUGUUCAAAGAGACUACCAGUGUUUCAUUUCAAUCUAAGUUACAGUGUGGAUGCUAAUUCUAAAUUCUUGAUAAUCAAGUGUUUUUAAUAACUUACUAAUUAUUUAUCAAACUGUAUAAUUUAUCACAUUCC